rnacentral:rRNA from 1 species
UACAGAGGUCCCAAGCGUUGUUCGGAUUCACUGGGCGUAAAGGGCGCGUAGGCGGCCUGUUAAGUCGAACGUGAAAUCCCCGGGCUCAACCCGGGAACUGCGUCCGAUACUGGCAGGCUUGAAUCCGGGAGAGGGAUGCGGAAUUCCAGGUGUAGCGGUGAAAUGCGUAGAUAUCUGGAGGAACACCGGUGGCGAAGGCGGCAUCCUGGACCGGUAUUGACGCUGAGGCGCGAAAGCCAGGGGAGCAAACGGG